rnacentral:SRP_RNA from 1 species
GCCGGGCAUGGUGGCUCACGCCUGUAAUCCCAGCACUUCGGGAGGCUGAGGUGGGUGGAUCACCUGAGGUCAGGAGUUUGAGACCAGCCUGGCCAACAUGGUGAAACCCCAUCUCUA